rnacentral:rRNA from 1 species
GAUCCUGGCUCAGAUUGAACGCUGGCGGCAUGCUUUACACAUGCAAGUCGGACGGCAGCACAGAGAAGCUUGCUUCUUGGGUGGCGAGUGGCGAACGGGUGAGUAAUAUAUCGGAACGUACCGAGUAAUGGGGGAUAACUAAUCGAAAGAUUAGCUAAUACCGCAUAUUCUCUGAGGAGGAAAGCAGGGGACCUUCGGCGUCGUCGUUAUUCGUAGCGGCCGGACGUAUCUGAUUAGU